GAAAGAUGCUCGUUUAAAAAAAUACCGUUUUCCGUCCGAUGUUACCCAGCGGAGACUCUGGGUUCGUGCCGUAAGACGAGCUGACCGGAAGCCCAGUGUCCAUUCUCGCAUCUGCAGCUGUCAUUUUCCUGCAGGGGAAAAAAAUGCCCGUUUUGUUUUUAGUUACCAAACGGAAGUUGUUUUCAGUUUACUUAUUUUAUGAAAAUAAAGAUGUUUACUACAAC